UACAGAGGGUGCGAGCGUUGUUCGGAAUUAUUGGGCGUAAAGGGCGCGUAGGCGGUGCGGUAAGUCACCUGUGAAAUCUCCUGGCUCAACUGGGAGCUUGCAGGCGAAACUGCCGUGCUGGAGUGUGGGAGAGGUGAGCGGAAUUUCCGGUGUAGCGGUGAAAUGCGUAGAUAUCGGAAGGAACACCAGUGGCGAAAGCGGCUUCCUGGUCCAGCACCGACGUUCAGGCACGAAAGCGUGGGGAGCAAACAGG
rnacentral:rRNA from 1 species